GACGAACGCUGGCGGCGUGCCUAAUACAUGCAAGUCGAGCGGAUGGAAGGAAGCUUGCUUCCUAAAGUCAGCGGCGGACGGGUGAGUAACACGUGGGCAACCUGCCCCUAAGAUCGGGAUAACUUCGGGAAACCGGAGCUAAUACCGGAUAUGAUUAUGUCUCACAUGAGACAUAAUGGAAAGACGGUUUCGGCUGUCACUUAGGGAUGGGCCCGCGGCGCAUUAGCUAGUUGGUGAGGUAACGGCUCACCAAGGCGACGAUGCGUAGCCGACGUGGAAGGGUGAGCGGCCACACUGGGACUGAGACACGGCCCAGACUCCUACGGGAGGCAGCAGUAGGGAAUUUUCGGCAAUGGGCGCAAGCCUGACCGAGCAACGCCGCGUGAGUGAUUAAGGCCUUCGGGUUGUAAAGCUCUGUUGUAAGGGAAGAACAUUCAGGAUAGGAAAUGAUCUUGAACUGACGGUACCUUACCAGAAAGCCACGGCUAACUACGUGCCAGCCGCCGCGGUAAUAC
rnacentral:rRNA from 1 species